rnacentral:rRNA from 1 species
CAGUAGCCACGGUAAUACAGAGGGUGCGAGCGUUAAUCGGAUUUACUGGGCGUAAAGCGUGCGUAGGCGGCUUUUUAAGUCGGAUGUGAAAUCCCUGAGCUUAACUUAGGAAUUGCAUUCGAUACUGGGAAGCUAGAGUAUGGGAGAGGAUGGUAGAAUUCCAGGUGUAGCGGUGAAAUGCGUAGAGAUCUGGAGGAAUACCGAUGGCGAAGGCAGCCAUCUGGCCUAAUACUGACGCUGAGGUACGAAAGCAUGGGGAGCAAACAGGAUUAGAGACCCCCGUAGUCCCUGUCUCUUAUAA